rnacentral:rRNA from 1 species
GACGAACGCUGGCGGCAUGCCUAAUACAUGCAAGUCGAGCGAACAGAUGAAGUGCUUGCACUUCUGACGUUAGCGGCGAACGGGUGAGUAACACGUAAGGAAUCUACCUAUAAGCGGGGGAUAACAUUCGGAAACGGGUGCUAAUACCGCAUAAUAUCUUCUUCCGCAUGGAAGAAGAUUGAAAGACGGCUCUGCUGUCACUUAUAGAUGACCUUGCGUUGCAUUAGUUAGUUGGUGGGGUAAAGGCCUACCAAGACGAUGAUGCAUAGCCGACCUGAGAGGGUGAUCGGCCACAUUGGGACUGAGACACGGCCCAAACUCCUACGGGAGGCAGCAGUAGGGAAUCUUCCGCAAUGGGCGAAAGCCUGACGGAGCAAUGCCGUGUGAGUGAAGAAGGCCUUCGGGUCGUAAAGCUCUGUUAUAAGAGAAGAACAAAUCGUAGAGUAACUGCUACAGUCUUGACGGUAUCUUAUCAGAAAGCCACGGCUAACUACGUGCCAGCCGCCGCGGUAA